rnacentral:rRNA from 1 species
AUUGAACGCUGGCGGCAGGCCUAACACAUGCAAGUCGAGCGGGGUUUUCGGACCUAGCGGCGGACGGGUGAGUAAUGCGUAGGAAGCUACCCGAUAGGGGGGGAUACCAGUUGGAAACGACUGUUAAUACCGCAUAAUGUCUACGGACCAAAGUGUGGGACCUUCGGGCCACAUGCUAUCGGAUGCGCCUACGUGGGAUUAGCUAGUUGGUGAGGUAAUGGCUCACCAAGGCGACGAUCUCUAGCUGGUUUGAGAGGAUGAUCAGCCACACUGGAACUGAGACACGGUCCAGACUCCUACGGGAGGCAGCAGUGGGGAAUAUUGGACAAUGGGCGCAAGCCUGAUCCAGCCAUGCCGCGUGUGUGAAGAAGGCCUUCGGGUUGUAAAGCACUUUCAGCGAGGAGGAAGGGUUGUGUGUUAAUAGUACACAGCCUUGACGUUACUCGCAGAAGAAGCACCGGCUAACUCUGUGCCAGCCGCCGCAGUAAGAC